GAUCACGCCCUGAGCCGAAGGCAGACGCUUAACCACUGUGCCACCCAGGUCCUCAUGUCUUCUUCUGUAUUCGAUCUGCUGUGAUAUGUUGUUUUGGUUGAAAUAUGUAAAGAAAAUCGAGCUCUAUACAGAUACAAAGUUGGAAAAGCCAAACAGAACAACAGCAUCAAAAAGAUACUGUCCCUGCUUCAGGAGUGUACGUGCUAAGCAAUGAAAAUGGAGAAUUUGUAAUGAUUUGCAAACCUACUUGUCAGCAGCGUAGGCAACAGGGACAUGAACCUUUUGAACAAGCAGAAACAGCGACUUGAGAAGUAGCCUGCAGGCCUUCAAAGCCCAUCUGCGUUUUAAAGCUUUACCGUAACUAAAUCCAAUUUGUACAUCAGAAAACUGGGAAAGAACAGGACUCUCCUAAUAAAAAGAAAAAGUAGAACUCAUGGUCUCAGGGAAAGUUUUCAGAAUUUGCCAGAUCUCAAUGGUAGUCUAGAGUGUUUCGACACGUGCCAGGCAGAGCAAGAAGCGAGGCCAGGGUCUUCCCGCAGGUGGAAGGAAGGCUUGGAACAGGGCUAUAACAUAAGGUGGCUGGGGGCCUCCCUCCCGGCCCCUCUCCCUCUUGCGGAUCAACCAGCCUUUUUAGAAUAGAAAUAGGAAUUUUAUUUGUCCCAAAUCUAAGGACAGGGGCACAAUUUUUAAACUGGAAGAGCUUUACCCCUCUCCCUCCCCUUCCCCCCAGUAAAUUUCAUCUUGCCUGAAAGUCACCAGGCAGUCGGCAAAAAGGAGGACCUGCUCCCUGCUGGAGUCUCUGAAUGAAAAAUAUGUUUUGGUGUUAGCUCAUCCCAUUGCUGAAGAAUUGGGAGAAAAUAGAGCGUAGCAUUUCAAGGAUUCCAAAAACAAGCAGAAUUUGAGAAGUGGAAUAUGAAGAGCUAAGACCCAAGAUCAAUACAUCAGCCGUUCGAAGAGGAUAAUAAAGCAGGCAUGAAGCCCUGGGGGUCCGCCACAGCGAGCAGGACUUGAGUCUUCUUGAAGCCUUUCCUCCCAGAAGCUCCAAAGGCAACACUGGGCGUCAAACUGACAAAGUACAAAAGCACGGAAGAACAACCACCAGGAGCAUAGAAGGUUCGAAUUAAAUUGGGCUUAGGUGCAACAGGAAGGACCAGAGGACCCUGAGCUCUAGCCAUGGGAGGUUAAGAUGAUUACCUGGCUUUGGAGCCAGCUAGACUGCUCUUCCCUCCGGGACGC